GGGGUGCGAGGCUACUUAUUGACUAAAUCACAUGCAAACAGCAGAAUGGGAUUUUGAUGCUGAGGAUUCUGGACAGAAGGGACAGACUUCAGGGUGAUUCCUUCACUGAGUCUGGAGCCAAGGUGGAAAAAAAAGGUUUUAUGUCUCUGUGCCGGAGGUAUUAUGUUUUGGAGUUGUGGGCCGACGGCCCGUCCAUCCCUGGUCUUGAUGGGGUCGUCGGGCAGUUCCUGCCACCUGCUGCUUAUCUUCGUGAUUGCCUUCGCCCACCUCCAGUAUUUAAGCCGGCCUGAUCUACCAGUCUUCGCCAGGUCGUCAGAUACUCCUGCGGUAAUCUGUUUCCCGGCUGCUGGUCUUCUGAAUAGUGUUUUGGUGGCGUAAAGAUUAAUACUGUAUUGCUGUCCAGGAUUUAACUCCCCGCCGUUUACUUCCUCCUCAGUUUUUCCCCUGUGUCCGGCUCCUCCGCUU
ensembl:lncRNA